rnacentral:rRNA from 1 species
UGACCUCAAAUCAGGUAGC